GAUGAACGCUGGCGGCGUGCCUAAUACAUGCAAGUCGAGCGAACAGAUGAGGAGCUUGCUCCUCUGACGUUAGCGGCGGACGGGUGAGUAACACGUGGAUAACCUACCUAUAAGACUGGGAUAACUUCGGGAAACCGGAGCUAAUACCGGAUAAUAUAUUGAACCGCAUGGUUCAAUAGUGAAAGACGGUUUUGCUGUCACUUAUAGAUGGAUCCGCGCCGCAUUAGCUAGUUGGUAAGGUAACGGCUUACCAAGGCGACGAUGCGUAGCCGACCUGAGAGGGUGAUCGGCCACACUGGAACUGAGACACGGUCCAGACUCCUACGGGAGGCAGCAGUAGGGAAUCUUCCGCAAUGGGCGAAAGCCUGACGGAGCAACGCCGCGUGAGUGAUGAAGGUCUUCGGAUCGUAAAACUCUGUUAUUAGGGAAGAACAAAAGUGUAAGUAACUAUGCACGUCUUGACGGUACCUAAUCAGAAAGCCACGGCUAACUACGUG
rnacentral:rRNA from 1 species